UAUUACAAAAUCAAAGCUUAAUCCUUUUAUCUAGAAUGAAGAUGUAUCUAAACAAUACCAGAAAAUCAAUGCUUAUCACAGAGUUAGAAAAUAGAGGUAAGUAUAUUAUAAUUAAAGGUGGAGUGGCUAUAAAAUCUCCCAAGCUUCACACCUAGAUUUCUGACAUAGAUUUAAAACCUUUUCAAUGGGAUUUAUAAUUUAGAACUAUUCUAUACCAAGUCUUUCUGAAGACUAUGCCAUACAAAGCCUUCCAAGUUCUCUAUUACUAAAUACAUUGCCAAUCACCAGGGCUGGGGAUAUGGCCUAGUGGCAAGAGU